UACGUAGGGUGCAAGCGUUGUCCGGAAUUAUUGGGCGUAAAGAGCUCGUAGGCGGUCAGUCGCGUCUGCUGUGAAAACUCGGGGCUUAACUCCGGGCCUGCAGUGGGUACGGGCUGACUAGAGUGCGGUAGGGGAGACUGGAAUUCCUGGUGUAGCGGUGGAAUGCGCAGAUAUCAGGAGGAACACCGAUGGCGAAGGCAGGUCACUGGGCCGCAACUGACGCUGAGGAGCGAAAGCAUGGGGAGCGAACAGG
rnacentral:rRNA from 1 species